rnacentral:rRNA from 1 species
CCACGGCUAACUCUGUGCCAGCAGCCGCGGUAAGACAGAGGUGGCAAGGCGUUGUUCGGAAUUACUGGGCGUAAAGAGUCUGUAGGUGGUUUGUCAAGUCUUUGGUGAAAGGCCGUAGCUUAACUAUGGGAAUGCCAAAGAGACUGGCAGGCUGGAGGCUGGGAGAGGGAAGCGGAAUUUCUGGUGUAGCGGUGAAAAUGCG